AAUAGAUACCCCGGUAGUCCACGCCCUAAACGAUGUGCACUAGACCGUGGCGGUUUUGACGCCGUCAUGGUCGGAGAGAAAUUGUUAAGUGCACCGCCUGGGGAGUACGGUCGCAAGGCUAAAACUCAAAGGAAUUGACGGGGGCUCACACAAGCGGUGGAGCAUGUGGUUUAAUUCGACGCAACGCGAAGAACCUUACCUGGGCUUGACAUGUUCCUGACCCCCCUGGAAACAGGGGUUCCCUUCGGGGCAGGAUCACAGGUGGUGCAUGGCUGUCGUCAGCUCGUGUCGUGAGAUGUUGGGUUAAGUCCCGCAACGAGCGCAACCCCCGUCGCAUGUUGCCAGCAUUAAGUUGGGGACUCAUGCGAGACUGCCGGUGACAAACCGGAGGAAGGUGGGGAUGACGUCAAGUCAUCAUGCCCCUUAUGUCCAGGGCUACACACGUGCUACAUUGGCGCGUACAGAGGGCUGCGAUACCGCGAGGUGGAGCGAAUCCCUUAAAGCGCGUCUCGGUUCGGAUUGCAGGCUGAAACCCGC
rnacentral:rRNA from 1 species